rnacentral:rRNA from 1 species
CCUACGGGCGGCUGCAGUGGGGAAUAUUGGACAAUGGGGGCAACCCUGAUCCAGCCAUGCCGCGUGUGUGAAGAAGGCCCUCGGGUUGUAAAGCACUUUCAGUGAGGAAGAACGCCUGGUGGUUAAUACCCAUCAGGAAAGACAUCACUCACAGAAGAAGCACCGGCUAACUCCGUGCCAGCAGCCGCGGUAAUACGGAGGGUGCGAGCGUUAAUCGGAAUUACUGGGCGUAAAGCGCGCGUAGGUGGCUUGAUAAGCCGGUUGUGAAAGCCCCGGGCUCAACCUGGGAACGGCAUCCGGAACUGUCAAGCUAGAGUGCAGGAGAGGAAGGUAGAAUUCCCGGUGUAGCGGUGAAAUGCGUAGAGAUCGGGAGGAAUACCAGUGGCGAAGGCGGCCUUCUGGACUGACACUGACGCUGAGGUGCGAAAGCGUGGGUAGCAAACAGGAUUAGAUACCCGUGUAGUC